UACGGAGGGAGCAAGCGUUACUCGGAAUUAUUGGGCGUAAAGGGCGCGUAGGCGAUUUGAAAAGUCUUGUGUGAAAGCCCCGAGCUUAACUCGGGAAGUGCACAAGAAACUGUUGAAUUUGAGUUCCGGAGAGGAAGGCAGAAUUCCCGGUGUAGCGGUGAAAUGCGUAGAUAUCGGGAGGAAUACCAGUGGCGAAGGCGGGUCUCUGGACAGUUCCUGACGCUGAGGCACGAAGGCCAGGGGAGCAAACGGG
rnacentral:rRNA from 1 species